rnacentral:lncRNA from 10 species
CAGGAGGCACAGCUCUGCCCGGGGCUUUCUUGGGCAGUAGGAGGAACUGGGUGAAAGGUCUUGGCUGCUGAGGCCACAAUAUUUCCCGAAUCCUGUGCUAUUUCUUGUGAAACUACGAAUCCAAGACUGUUUCCUAGAUUGUGGCAGAUGUGGGACCCGGGGGGACCUUCAGAGUCAUCUCCCAGGCGACUCUCUCCUUUGCAGAUGAGGAGCUGAGGUCCCACCGCUCAGAAGCUGACUGGGCAGGUCAGCAGCCUCCCUGGCCAGGACACAAUCUGCUGCGCUGCCACAGGGUCUGGCUGGGCAGGUGUGGGACUGAGCUCUGGGGACCAAUAGUGACACCGCACAGGCAACCUUCAGCAUGCUGGACAUGAGAACGAGGGCGGGCCUGCAAUCCUCGGAUCACUGUGUUGGUAGUUCUUAGUAGAUCAUACUGUUCUUGAUGCCUUGGGCCAGACUGGAAUGAAAUAUUUUUUCUCGGAUUUGGUAAACUCGUUUGCUGGGGUAAGUCGUGGUGUUCCGUAUUGCUUUGGAUGUGUAGCCCAGGAAUAAGAUGGCAGCACUGCAGGAUUCCGGAGCCACCCACAGCACCGACUGCUGCUGGAGAUACACAAUCAUGGGCACUCGUGAAGCUGCAGAAACUCACGGGGACCCUGACACCAGGUGCUGCUCCUUGGACAGAGGGAGGCCCGUCAUCUGGGUCUGAAGGAGGCUCCCAAGACUCUGACACAGAAC